rnacentral:lncRNA from 1 species
UAACCAGCUCACAAUGCCCCCUGAGGAGGGGAGAGGGCACCAGGGCCCAGCUUCUCAGUCAAGUUCACAAGGGUUUUCAUUCUUCCCGGUGACCAGGGAGAGUGCACAUGGGUGGGGGAUUUGUAAUUCAUUAAUCAGCACAAGGCACCGGACCAGUUUCAACACCAGAGGCUUCACGGGUGACUCAGCGGGAACUCGAAGAUUCAAGGCCAUGGAUAGACCCAGCAUCCCGUUAGUGAAAAGCUUCCCCAUCGAGACAUUUGGCAUCCUCUUCCCUUUGGGGGUUUGGGUUGUUGGUUUUUCCGGUGGUGAGGUAGGGGUGGUUUGGCUAAGAGCAUUCUCCCUCCUUCCCCUCAGGCCUGGGUUGGGACUUUCUGAGUGGGAGACCUAGGGGACCCAUAAGCCUAGACCCUCCCAGGAGGGUCUCCUUUCCUCCUCCUUCCUCCCUCUCCAGAGGGCUGCCAGGGAGAGCGAGGGAGCAUGAGAGCUAGUGCAGAGGAAACAGCUGUCAUCUGGGGCUUGGAGGCAGCCCCAUUCUGUGAUUUUUCUUGGGGGACAGUCAUUUGGUCCCCAAGUCUUGGGUGCUUGUAGAAGCAUUCCACCAAUUAAGUCAUCUGAUAAGUUGCUGUGUUGUUUCUCUGUAGUCUCACCAGGGGUAGAUAGCGGUGGCAGCCAGCCGUGGAAGGUGAUGCCUGUCUCUGGAAUGGCAUGAGGAACCCUAUGAGACAGAUGCUGUCCUUUUCCUUAAGUGAGGAGGAAGCAGGUGAAAUCACUGCACCAUAGCCCACCAGACUGCAUGGUAGAGCAGGGGUAAGGACCCAGCAUUGUCUGACCUUAGGGACUAUGGCCGUUUGACUACACCAUGCAGGUACCAACC